rnacentral:rRNA from 1 species
UACGUAGGGGGCAAGCGUUGUCCGGAUUUAUUGGGCGUAAAGAGCGUGUAGGCGGUUAGGUAGGUCCGUUGUGAAAACUCGAGGCUCAACCUCGAGACGCCGAUGGAAACCAUCUAACUAGAGUCCGGAAGAGGAGAGUGGAAUUCCUGGUGUAGCGGUGAAAUUCGUAGAUAUUCGGAAGAACACCAGUGGCGAAGGCGGCUCACUGGACCGGUAUUGACGCUGAGGUGCGAAAGCGUGGGGAGCAAACAGG